rnacentral:rRNA from 1 species
GUUGUAUGGUUAAGUGACUAAGCGUACACGGUGGAUGCCUUGGCAGUCAGAGGCGAUGAAGGACGUAUUAACUUGCGAUAAGCGUAGAUUAGGCAGUAAAAGCCACUUGAGUCUACGAUUUCCGAAUGGGGAAACCCACUAGCAUAAGCUAGUAUCGCUGCGUGAAUACAUAGCGCAGCGAGGCGAACUCGGGGAACUGAAACAUCUAAGUACCCGAAGGAAAAGAAAUCAACUGAGAUUCCGAAAGUAGCGGCGAGCGAAAUUGGACUAGCCCUUAAGCUUUAAAUGAUGCAGGUGAACACGCUGGAAAGCGUGGCAAUAAAGGGUGAUAGCCCCGUAACCGACACAUCAUUCUAAGUGAAAACGAGUAAGGCGGGACACGUGAUAUCCUGUUUGAAUAUGGGGGGACCAUCCUCCAAGGCUAAAUACUACUGACUGACCGAUAGUGAACCAGUACCGUGAGGGAAAGGCGAAAAGAACCCCUGUGAGGGGAGUGAAAUAGAACCUGAAACCGUGUACGUACAAGCAGUAGGAGCAAGGUAAUGCCUUGUGACUGCGUACCUUUUGUAUAAUGGGUCAGCGACUUAUAUUCAGUGGCAAGGUUAACCGUAUAGGGGAGCCGUAGGGAAACCGAGUCUUAACUGGGCGCUUCAGUCUCUGGAUAUAGACCCGAAACCGAGUGAUCUAGCCAUGGGCAGGUUGAAGAUUGAGUAACAUCAAUUGGAGGACCGAACCGACUAAUGUUGAAAAAUUAGCGGAUGACUUGUGGCUAGGGGUGA